rnacentral:rRNA from 1 species
CCUACGGGAGGCAGCAGUGAGGAAUAUUGGACAAUGUGCGCGAGCCUGAACCAGCCAAGUAGCGUGAAGGAUGACUGCCCUACGGGUUGUAAACUUCUUUUAUAAAGGAAUAAAGUGAGGCACGUGUGCCUUUUUGUAUGUACUUUAUGAAUAAGGAUCGGCUAACUCCGUGCCAGCAGCCGCGGUAAUACGGAGGAUCCGAGCGUUAUCCGGAUUUUAUGGGGUUAAAGGGAGCGUAGAUGGGUUUUUAAGUCAGUUGUGAAAGUUUGCGGAUCAACCGUAAAAUUGCAAUUGAUACUGGCAGUCUUGAGUACAGGUGAGGUAGGCGGAGUUCGUGGUGUAGCGGUGAAAUGCUUAGAUAUCACGAAGAACUCCGAUUGCGAAGGCAGCUUACUAAACUGCCACUGACAUUGAUGCUCGAAAGUGUGGGUAUCAAACAGGAUUAGAUACCCGUGUAGUC